UGGGGAAUAUUGGGCAAUGGGCGCAAGCCUGACCCAGCAACGCCGCGUGAGGGAAGAAGGUUUUCGGAUUGUAAACCUCUGUCCUAUGUGACGAAGGAAGUGACGGUAGCAUAGGAGGAAGCCCCGGCUAACUACGUGCCAGCAGCCGCGGUAAUACGUAGGGGGCGAGCGUUGUCCGGAAUGAUUGGGCGUAAAGGGCGCGUAGGCGGCCUGGUAAGUCCGGAGUGAAAGUCCUGCUUUUAAGGUGGGAAUUGCUUUGGAUACUGUCGGGCUUGAGUGCAGGAGAGGAAAGCGGAAUUACCGGUGUAGCGGUGAAAUGCAUAGAUAUUAGGAGGAACAUCGGUGGCGAAGGCGGCUUUCUGGACUGACACUGACGCUGAGGCUCGAAAGCGUGGGGAGCAAACAGGAUUAGAUACCCUGGUAGU
rnacentral:rRNA from 1 species